CAAAACCCGAGAAAAUGGAAAAUAAAAAAAAUAAAAGACUAAAUUAAAAAAGCGAGAGCUCAGAAGGAGCGUACUUAAGUAGCAGAAAGACUAGCAACUUGAAGAAGGGGGGAGAGAGAGAGAGACUGAGAGAGGAGAAAUCGAAACCCUUACCUCUUUCUCACUCCGCCGAUCAUCUCCACAUCCGUCUCUCCUCGCAGGAAACCCGCCGGAAUCCCGAGCUUCCUCGCCGGAGAAUCAAGAAUUCCGAUCGGAGUCUCUUCCCUCUCAUCCAAACAUCCGACCCACCGAUGGACGACAAGAACCAGCCGCCGCCGGGAUCCGACGCCCACAGCGGCGGCACCGGCUGGCGAUACCCCGGCUACGUCGGUGGCGGGAUCUCCUCCCUCGACGACCUCUGCGCCGGAGAGGAGGACGAGGCCAGCAUCCUAAAGGCGUUCGGGUGGAGCAUCCCGCUGGACUCCAACCCGAUCGGGGAGGACGGCGGAUUCCGAGGGUUCGGCCUGGACGAUGCCCCGGGACCGUCGUCGGCGAUGGCGGCGGCGCCCCUGGAGGACAGAUCAGAUCCCCCGGCGGCAUCUCUCCUCGCGAGAUCCGGCGACGCCGUGUCCUCCAGUUCCAGCGAGGAACCCCCGCCGGAGCCCGACGAGAAGCCGGCCGAGACAGCGAACAAAAGUACUAAGAAGGGGCAGAAGCGAAGCCGUCAACCCAGAUUUGCAUUUAUGACUAAGAGCGAGAUUGAUCAUCUGGAAGAUGGCUACCGAUGGAGAAAGUAUGGGCAGAAAACGGUCAAAAACAGCCCAUAUCCAAGGAGCUACUACCGCUGCACUAACAGCAAAUGCAUGGUGAAGAAACGAGUGGAGCGAUCCCCCGAAGAUCCCACCAUUGUGAUCACCACGUAUGAAGGGCAGCACUGCCACCACACUGUAUCUUUCCCUCGUGGCAGUGCGUACGUUCACAGUGCAGCUGCCUCUGCUGAACGGCUAGCAUUAGCAUCUCCACAGCUCUAUCUACAAGCAAUGCAAUUCCAUCAGAACCCUGCAGUGGGUGGAGGCCAGCAGUUGCCACAAACCCUCCAUGGAGAGCAUCAAACAUCCCUGCCGGCAGGAACUUCCUCGCCGCUUCCCACCGAUGAGGGACUGUUGGGUGACAUGGUGCCGCCUGGGAUGAGAAACAGAUGAGGAUAAUAAUUGGUUAAAAAAAAAGGGAAACCUGGGUGCAUGACCCAUGAUUGGUAAUUUCAUGGUGCUGGUGAUGAUGAUAGUGAAGAGUACAUGCAUGUGGUGUAUUGACUUCUCUCCAUCAUAAUAUAAAUCACACAGGUUCUUAUAAAGAAAUCUAAGCAUAACAAGAUCAUCGAUGUCCCGGGAGGUACAUGCAUGGAGCUUCUUUGUUUUUCAUGUUAAUGUAGCACCGGCGUACCAUCACACGGAGCCAGGAUAGACAGAAUGGCGAUUCAUAUAUAACGCUCGUAUGAGCUACAGCUUGUGUAGGCAUUGAUUUUAGCUUUAGACCUGUAAUACUUGGCAGAUUUUGAUGCCACAUUAAUUAUUCCUGCAGCGUUUGGCCUUUUUUUUUGGUCUUUUAGUGUCCUGAUCAUUUGUAAUAGUAGUUAAUUUAUUCAAAUCUCCUUCACCUGCUAGAACUCUAUAUUCAUGUAGAAACUAAGCAGUUUCGUAACCUCCUCAUUGUAUUCAUGUGGAAGUAUCAAAACCUUAACUUUUUUUUUUCUUUGUA